UUUAAAAACAUUUAACUUUCCAGAAACAACAUCAGCAGCAAGUUGUAUCUUUUUAAUACAAUAGUCAAGAGCUUCAAUAUCGGUUUCAUCAUCUUUCCACAUUGCCAUCGAGGGGAGUCAAAAAGAGUGUUAAAGGGAACUGAGCGAUUUCAACCUUAAAGCUUAACAACCUGACGUCGACAUGUACGAUAAAAAGUUUUGAAUUGCCCCUUGCAAAAUGGCUUAUUGGAUCUCGCGAUCGAGAUGGCCAUAGAGCUAAGCGUGGCGAAGCAAGAAAACAACAAAAC